UCCGCGAUAGCUCAGUCGGUAGAGCGGGUGGCUGUUAACCACUAGGUCGCAGGUUCGAGUCCUGCUCGCGGAGCCA
rnacentral:tRNA from 3 species